GACGUAGGGCGCGAGCGUUGUCCGGAUUUAUUGGGCGUAAAGAGCUCGUAGGCGGCUUGUCGCGUCAACUGUGAAAACCCGUGGCUCAACCAUGUGGUCUGCAGUCGAUACGGGCAGGCUAGAAUUCGGUAGGGGAGACUGGAAUUCCUGGUGUAGCGGUGAAAUGCGCAGAUAUCAGGAGGAACACCGGUGGCGAAGGCGGGUCUCUGGGCCGAUAUUGACGCUGAGGAGCGAAGGCGUGGGGAGCGAACAGG
rnacentral:rRNA from 1 species